CACGAACGCUGGCGGCAGGCUUAACACAUGCAAGUCGAGCGCCCCGCAAGGGGAGCGGCAGACGGGUGAGUAACGCGUGGGAAUCUACCCAUCUCUACGGAAUAACGCAUGGAAACGUGUGCUAAUACCGUAUACGUACUUCGGGAGAAAGAUUUAUCGGAGAUGGAGGAGCCCUCGUUGGAUUAGCUAGUUGGUGGGGUAAAGGCCUACCAAGGCGACAAUCCAUAGCUGGUCUGAGAGGAUGAUCAGCCACACUGGGACUGAGACACGGCCCAGACUCCUACGGGAGGGAGCAGUGGGGAAUAUUGGACAAUGGGCGCAAGCCUGAUCCAGCCAUGCCGCGUGAGUGAUGAAGGCCCUAGGGUUGUAAAGCUCUUUCACCGGUGAAGAUAAUGACGGUAACCGGAGAAGAAGCCCCGGCUAACUUCGUGCCAGCAGCCGCGGUAAAAC
rnacentral:rRNA from 1 species